AGUGCCAUAUUUGUGUUCAGUGUUUUCGGCCAUUUGCAAAAAAUAAUCUUAUUUUUCCAUAUGAAGGAAGAUCUUACUGUGAAUAUGAUUUCUGGCAGCUAUACGGCCCGAGAUGCGGUUACUGCUUUGAAAAUAUAGUGGGAGAAGCUUUUUCAGCUGCAGGAAAAACUUGGCAUGUUGAACAUUUUCUUUGUGAG